AUUGAACGCUGGCGGCAGGCCUAACACAUGCAAGUCGAGCGGAUGAAGGGAGCUUGCUCCUGGAUUCAGCGGCGGACGGGUGGGUAAUGCCUAGGAAUCUGCCUGGUAGUGGGGGAUAACGUCCGGAAACGGGAGCUAAUACCGCAUACGUCCUGAGGGAGAAAGUGGGGGAUCUUCAGACCUCACGCUAUCAGAUGACACUAGGUCGGAUUAGCUAGUUGGUGGGGUAAAGGCCUACCAAGGCGACGAUCCGUAACUGGUCUGAGAGGAUGAUCAGUCACACUGGAACUGAGACACGGUCCAGACUCCUACGGGAGGCAGCAGUGGGGAAUAUUGGACAAUGGGCGAAAGCCUGAUCCAGCCAUGCCGCGUGUGUGAAGAAGGUCUUCGGAUUGUAAAGCACUUUAAGUUGGGAGGAAGGGCAGUAAGUUAAUACCUUGCUGUUUUGACGGUACCAACAGAAUAAGCAACGGCUAACUUCGUG
rnacentral:rRNA from 1 species